rnacentral:rRNA from 1 species
AUGAAGAACUUCUUCAGGAAGCUCCACAUCGGGGAGGGGUCCGGGGACGGCGCGUCGUCGCCCGCCCCGCCGCUCCCCCGCAAGGGGAGCGGCGCAGGAGGAGGUGGAGGCGGAGGCGCGGCUCACCAUACCCUCCCCGAGCAGCGGCAGCAGCAGCCGCCCUCGGUGGUGUCCAGCUGGCUCGACUCCGUCCCGACGCGGCCCCCGCCCCCGACGCCCCCGCCCCCCGCGGAGGCGGAGGGGUCGGCGUCCGCGUCGCCGGGUGGGGAGGAUAGGCGGCCAUCGGGGCCGGUGGGCGAGAGGAGGCGCGCGCAGGAGGAGGGAAUGGAGCGGAGGCUCUCGCAGGAGGAGGAGGCGCUGAGGGAGCGGCGGCGAUCGCGGGAGGAGCACGCGGUGGAGGAGCGGGUCAUCAGGGAGUCGUCGGAGGCGGAGGAGAGGAAGCGGGAGAGGGAGAAGGAGGAGGACGACCUCGAGGAGUUCCAGCUGCAGCUCGUGCUGGAGAUGAGCGCCCGGGACAACCCCGAGGAAAUGGAGAUCGAGGUCGCCAAGCAGAUGAGCCUGGGCUUCCGCCGCCCCGCGAGCUCCCUCGCCGAGGUCAUCGCGGCCCGAUACUGGAAUUUCAACGCCCUUGGCUAUGAUGACAAAAUAACAGAUGGCUUUUAUGAUCUCUACGUCAUUGGGAAUGGGCCGGCAUCAAUAAACAUGCCCUCUCUGAGUGAACUGCGAGCACAGCCAGUUUCACAUAAUAGUGUCAACUGGGAAACUGUAUUGGUUCACAGAGGUGAAGAUCCUGAGCUUAUGAAACUUGAGCAGAAGGCCUCAAUCAUUGCUGUUGAACUUCGAUCGAGAAAUUCAGAAUUUGUUGGCAAUGUUUUGAUUCAGAAACUUGCUAAUUUAGUUUCUAACCACAUGGGUGGACUAAUAUUUGAUCCUGAGAACACGUCAAGAAAAUACCAGAAUAUGAUCAGAUCCCUGAGAGCACGUAUUGGAAGUGUAGUUGUGCCUCUUGGCCAAUUAAAAACUGGUCUAGCUCGUCAUCGCGCGCUGCUAUUUAAGGUUUUGGCUGAUAGCCUUCAUAUCCCUUGUCGACUCCUGAAAGGAAGGCAGUACACUGGAUCGGAUGAUGGAGCUUUGAACAUUGUGAAAUAUGACGAUGGAAGGGAGUUCAUCGUUGAUCUCGUGACAGAUCCUGGCACAGUUAUUCCUUCAGAGGGUGCUGUUUUGUCUACAGAAUUUGAAGACAGUUCCUACUCAGAUAAUCAUCAGUUAAGCAAAGCUGAUACGGCCAAUCACUUGGGAUCUUCUCACAGUGGAGUCUCAAAUUCUGCAUGUGAUUCCUUUGAGUAUGAGCUACUUGACAGAAGAUCGACAUCAAGCAACGUUGGUCCUUCUGAUACAGAUGGAGCUGCGACUAGUCAAACAAGAAAUCAACAAAAUACGAUAAGUUCUUUUGAAAAUUUAUCGGUUAGCACAUUCCCAAGUGAAAAUAAACCUGUCAUCAAUGAAAGUAGAGGCACAGAAGAAGCGGUGGCACCAAAGAACAAAGAAAAACCAGUUGGUGCAAAUAAUUCUCUGUCAAGUUCACCUUCUUCCCCAGAAGUGGGCAGCACUACGGGUUUCCGGAGGAUGAAAGUAAAGGAUAUCUCAGAGUACAUGAUUCAUGCUGCCAGGGAAAAUCCACAGUUAGCGCGGAAAAUCCAUGAGGUCUUACUUGAAAAUGGAGUAGUGGCACCGCCUGACUUGUUUUCAGAAGAUUCAAUGGAGGAGCCAAAGGAUCUAAUUGUGUGUGAUGCCACCCUAUUUCAAAGCAAGGAUGAAAUGAAAAGGAGAAUGAAUGAGGUUGGAUCAAGGGAAUAUGCUGAUCGUGGUCAUGGCCCAUCACCGUCUCAUCGUCCUGGGCAUGAACUCCAAUCAAAAGUUGUACCUCACCGGGCACUUCUGGACUCACUUAAACCUAUCGAGGGUUUGGGUAUAUACCACCAUCCGGAUAUCCGUGAUAACACAUCUCCCUAUUUUUCUCAUUAUGAACCUUCGGCACCUCCCCAGGAAACUCCGUCACAGCUCUCAAAGCAAUUGCCUGUCACGGCCGCUGCUGUUGCAACUGCUGCAGUGGUAGCGUCUUCGAUGGUUGUCGCAGCCGCAAAAUCUAACAGUGAUAUGAAAUUUGAUGUGCCCGUUGCAGCUGCAGCCACCGUUACCGCAGCUGCAGUUGUUGCAACAACUGCUGCUGUUAGCAAGCAAUAUGAACACUCGGAGCCUGGUAAUCAGCUACUUAGUUUACCAAGCACAUCUGAACGAAAUGAAUCGGUUGAGAAAGCUGCAGAUGACUUUUGGGAUAAACAGCACACUGAAAUUGGUCAUGGCCAAGAUAAUGCUCUAGAUCAAGAAAGGGAUCCUGCCGAAGUUCCUCGGGAAGCUGAAAGAACCUCAGAUAAAUCAAGCGGGACAGAAAGUGCAAAAUCUGAAGUUACUCUAGACGAUGUUGCAGAGUUUGAGAUGCAGUUGGAAGAAAUUGCAAUCGGGGAACGGAUUGGCCUUGGAUCAUUUGGAGAAGUUUAUAGAGGUGAAUGGCAUGGAACAGAAGUUGCAGUCAAGAAGUUUUUGCAACAAGAUAUUUCGAGCGAUGCUCUGGAUGAAUUUAAAGCUGAGGUGCGAAUAAUGAAGCGGUUACGUCAUCCUAAUGUUGUUCUUUUCAUGGGUGCUAUCACUCGGGUGCCUAAUCUUUCCAUUGUCACCGAAUUUCUUCCAAGAGGUAGCUUGUUCCGGUUGAUUCAUCGACCUAACAACCUGUUGGAUGAAAAGAGGCGGUUAAGAAUGGCACUUGAUGUGGCACGAGGUAUGAAUUAUCUGCAUAAUUGCACACCAGUUAUAGUCCAUAGAGACCUGAAAUCUCCAAAUCUACUGGUUGACAAGAACUGGGUUGUGAAGGUUUGUGAUUUUGGCCUAUCAAGAAUGAAGAACAAUACCUUCCUAUCAUCAAGAUCAACAGCUGGAACAGCGGAGUGGAUGGCACCUGAAGUUUUACGUAAUGAACCAUCAGAUGAGAAAUGCGAUGUCUUUAGUUACGGUGUCAUACUGUGGGAACUUUGUACGCUACAGCAGCCUUGGGAAGGUAUGAACGCAAUGCAAGUCGUUGGAGCAGUUGGGUUUCAGAGUCGCCGCCUUGAUAUUCCAGACAACGUCGACCCCGCCGUAGCAGAGAUCAUAACAAGAUGCUGGCAGACGGACCCAAGGGCGCGGCCUUCAUUCGCGGAGAUCAUGGCUGCAUUAAAACCAUUACUGAAACCCUUGCCCGCGAGCCAAGCACCAAGGCAGAGAGUACAGCAAACAGACGGGUAA